GCAUAGCUCAGCUGGUGAGAGCAUGGUGCCGACAAUGUCAAGGUUGCAGGUUUGAUCCCCGUAAAGGACAGAUGCA